rnacentral:rRNA from 1 species
CAGCAGCCGCGGGAAUACGGAGGGAGCUAGCGUUGUUCGGAAUUACUGGGCGUAAAGCGCGCGUAGGCGGUUACUCAAGUCAGAGGUGAAAGCCCGGGGCUCAACCCCGGAACUGCCUUUGAAACUAGGUGACUAGAAUCUUGGAGAGGUCAGUGGAAUUCCGAGUGUAGAGGUGAAAUUCGUAGAUAUUCGGAAGAACACCAGUGGCGAAGGCGACUGACUGGACAAGUAUUGACGCUGAGGUGCGAAAGCGUGGGGAGCAAACAGGAUUAGAUACCCCGUAGUCCCUGUCUCUUAUACA